rnacentral:rRNA from 1 species
AUUGAACGCUGGCGGCAUGCUUUACACAUGCAAGUCGAAAGGCAGCGCGGGCUUCGGCCUGGCGGCGAGUGGCGAACGGGUGAGUAAUGCAUCGGAACGUGCCCAGUAGUGGGGGAUAGCCCGGCGAAAGCCGGAUUAAUACCGCAUACGACCUGAGGGUGAAAGCGGGGGACCGAAAGGCCUCGCGCUAUUGGAGCGGCCGAUGUCGGAUUAGCUAGUUGGUGGGGUAAAGGCUUACCAAGGCGACGAUCCGUAGCUGGUCUGAGAGGACGACCAGCCACACUGGGACUGAGACACGGCCCAGACUCCUACGGGAGGCAGCAGUGGGGAAUUUUGGACAAUGGGGGCAACCCUGAUCCAGCCAUGCCGCGUGCGGGAAGAAGGCCUUCGGGUUGUAAACCGCUUUUGUUCGGGAAGAAAUCCUCUGGGCUAAUACCCCGGGGGGAUGACGGUACCGGAAGAAUAAGCACCGGCUAACUACGUG